rnacentral:rRNA from 1 species
AUUGAACGCUGGCGGCAGGCCUAACACAUGCAAGUCGAACGAGUGGCGGACGGGUGAGUAAUGUCUGGGAAACUGCCCGAUGGAGGGGGAUAACUACUGGAAACGGUAGCUAAUACCGCAUACCAUCGGAUGUGCCCAGAUGGGAUUAGCUAGUAGGUGGGGUAACGGCUCACCUAGGCGACGAUCCCUAGCUGGUCUGAGAGGAUGACCAGCCACACUGUAACGGAGACAAGGUCCAGAAUCCUACGGGAGGCAGCAGUGGGGAAUAUUGCACAAGGGGCGCAAGCCUGAUGCAGCCAUGCGGCGUGUAUGAAGAAGGCCUUCGGGGUGUAAAGUACUUUCAGCGAGGAGGCGUUACUCGCAGAAGAAGCACCGGCUAACUCCGUGCGAGGGGCAGGAGUAAUAC